rnacentral:rRNA from 1 species
GAUGAACGCUGGCGGCGUGCCUAAUACAUGCAAGUCGAGCGAACAGAUGAGGAGCUUGCUCCUCUGACGUUAGCGGCGGACGGGUGAGUAACACGUGGAUAACCUACCUAUAAGACUGGGAUAACUUCGGGAAACCGGAGCUAAUACCGGAUAAUAUAUUGAAUCGCAUGGUUCAAUAGUGAAAGACGGUUUUGCUGUCACUUAUAGAUGGAUCCGCGCCGCAUUAGCUAGUUGGUAAGGUAACGGCUUACCAAGGCGACGAUGCGUAGCCGACCUGAGAGGGUGAUCGGCCACACUGGAACUGAGACACGGUCCAGACUCCUACGGGAGGCAGCAGUAGGGAAUCUUCCGCAAUGGGCGAAAGCCUGACGGAGCAACGCCGCGUGAGUGAUGAAGGUCUUCGGAUCGUAAAACUCUGUUAUUAGGGAAGAACAAAUGUGUAAGUAACUAUGCACGUCUUGACGGUACCUAAUCAGAAAGCCACGGCUAACUACGUG